CAGAAGUUGUGACAGCGUCACUGUCAGGAAUCAGCAAAUUGUCUGUGGUAUCGAAGAGAGUGAGGUUAGGUGCGUACAAGGAAGAUGGCAACAACAAGUAGUAAUUCAAACAUGAACUGUAUUAUGCCAGGCUGUAGAAAGUGGCUCCAAAAAAAUCCCUUGGUAAGCUACCAUCGGCUGCCCAAGGACCCACAACUUUUGAAGAAGUGGCUCCAUGUCCUGAAGAGGAAGGACGUGCCAGCUCGAGCUAGCGGGAUCAGCAGCCAGCACUUUGCGGAUGAUCAGCAGCCCAUCUUCCUUCGCAAUGAAGGGCACUUCCGAUGCGGAAACCAGGAGUUUCCAAAUGGAAGAGUCAUAGGACUAUGUUGAAGCGCUUUGCUUGCCCCUCCAUGUUUAAGGGUUAUGGUGUAGGGGUUACCGACCGACCAUCAUCAACAUUGCUGACUUCAGAGUCUAGCAAAAGCCGGACUGAACGAAGGUGGCGACGGGAGUCAAUGGAGCCUGAGGAUCACAUCCGGCCAUGAUUGGAAGUCCCAUAGGGCGGUGCACAAUUGGCCCAGCAUCGUCCAGGUUUGGCCGGGGUAGACCGUCAUUGUAAAUAAUAAUUUGUUCUUAACUGACUUGCCUAGUUAAAUAAACGUUCAACAAAAUUAAUAAAAUCAUCCCUGAAAAGGUUUUCAUCCUGGAGGAGACUGUGUAGGAAGAGGUAAAGAGGUAAAGGAGGUACAUGCAAAUCCAUGUUAUUUCUAAGGCUAUUGUUUAUUUCAGUCUGUCAUCCCUGAGGACAUUUUGGAUAUAAAAUGGACAAAAUACAAUAUUUGCAGUGAUUCUUGAUUAUAACUAUAGCCUAAUAGAUGCCUUAAUUGUUUCUACCAACGGGAAAGUACAGUUAGUAGAGCAUGCCAAAUUGACCCGAGUGCUCCUGUGCUGUGGCGGAGAAGAGGUCCACCGGGACCAUCACUAAAGAGCUCAAGGCCCAGCUAGACUGCGCUCACGGCCAUCAGUAUACAAGCGUGUCCAGCCACUAUCUGCCACAGAUGGAUCUGACGGAGAGUAAGAAUGAGAUGAGUGAAGACCAGAACUCACUGUAUGAAUUGAUUGAUUGCUGAGCCGUGCUGUGCUGGAUGCUGUGUAUUCACUAACUGUCUGAGUGAUGUGACAUUUUUAUAGUAUCUGUAACAUAUUUUGGUGUGUAUUUAAACUGCAAUUUAACGUCAUAAAGUGGCAAUCAGCAGUAGAAACAAUAACAAAGUGUCCUCACUGCUCCUCCUUCAGGGAAAAUGCUUAGGGAUCGGGGCUGGAGAAAUGUAACCACUCUCAAAUUCAUAGAACUAUAGAUGCAAAGACUGACCAUCCAUCCAUUUAUAGUUUUAACCAUGUUUUGAGGCUGCAUUGUGUUUGUUGAUAUUUCCUUUGGUUACAAACGUUUAGAACUUUUAUUUGGGGUUUGACAGUUGAUCAAAGCUCACGAGGAAUUUCUAAGUUAGAUUCUUCAAGAAUCCGUGGUUACAUAUCAUAAUUUUUAUAAGUGCAACAAAAUGGAUGUAGUAACUGCUGAUUGCCCCUUUAAGCUAUGCCACUGUUGUUUGUCUAUUGUGCAUGAGGCAAAGACUUGCAAUCACAAGCCUUUCAUGUGGAUCCUCUUUUUUGUUUCUUUGAAACUUGUAAAAACACCUUAAUAACCCUGUAAUUGGCUGUGUAUUUUUUGUAAUCCUGUUUCUAUGAUCUGUUUCCACUACCAUGUAGCCGGGUUGCUUUGGAUGAAGGUGUCUGCUAAAUGGUAUAUAUUAUUAAAGUCUCCUUUGACUCUGCCAA